GUGGGGAAUAUUGGACAAUGGGCGAAAGCCUGAUCCAGCCAUGCCGCGUGUGUGAAGAAGGUCUUCGGAUUGUAAAGCACUUUAAGUUGGGAGGAAGGGCAGUAAGUUAAUACCUUGCUGUUUUGACGUUACCGACAGAAUAAGCACCGGCUAACUUCGUGCCAGCAGCCGCGGUAAUACGAAGGGUGCAAGCGUUAAUCGGAAUUACUGGGCGUAAAGCGCGCGUAGGUGGUUUUGUAAGUUGGAGGUGAAAUCCCCGGGCUCAACCUGGGAACUGCCUCCAAAACUGCAUGACUAGAGUACGGUAGAGGGUAGUGGAAUUUCCUGUGUAGCGGUGAAAUGCGUAGAUAUAGGAAGGAACACCAGUGGCGAAGGCGACUACCUGGACUGAUACUGACACUGAGGUGUGAAAGCGUGGGGAGCAAACAGGAUUAGAUACCCUAGUAGUCC
rnacentral:rRNA from 1 species